CUACCUUACAGGAUGAAUCCCUUCCUUAUCUACUUUGUAUAUCGAGCCCCUUUUCUAUGUGUUCUAAUUUCAAGUUAGGGCGCAAUCUGGCUCUACAGCGGGCGUAGUAGUCAUGAAGUUUGCGUUGAUUUCUGCAUCGACGAAGACAGACAUAGGGUCACAUUUGAGAUGUUCUCUUCUCUCCCUUCCCCCCCAUUGAUAAAACUCCCUUAAGCAAAAAGAAGAGUCAGAAAUGCAACCAGCAGUGCGGCGCGUUGUUACCUUCUCUGCUCCUGCUGACAACUUUUUUUGCCUUAAUCAGGAAAUAGAGUGAAAUUAGUUUAUUUUGGUGUAGUUGCUACAAUUGCCUAACUUAAAGACUAUAAUUCUACUGCUUGGAAUUUUGCUUCCAUAUUUUGUUCGUUCAAAAACCUCGACUGACUUCACCUGAUUGUUUUUUGCUUGGAGAUCGCUAAGGCCUUGUUUGCUCUAGAAAAUUAAAACCCAUGGUACGGCAAUACCGCAGCUGCACUGGUGGUAACAAUGAGCUAAGUGCUUGUGGAGAUGGGGCUCAGGGUCACUGUAGAUGGAAGCCAGGAUAAACAAGGAGAAAAUGACAAAAGCCAACAAGAUGAAAGCUGUUUCAAGUAACACCGAGCGGCUACUGUUGGUUCUGAUGGACAUUGAUUUCUGCACAAGUUUUCAAGCCACCCUUUCCCUGCACACGAAGUUGAACACUGUCUUUUCAUCUUCAGUUGCCAUUCUUUGGUCUGGAUUGGAGAUUUCUGUCUCCUUACCCCUAUGGAGCACCUUACUACAAAGACCCAAAUCUUCAGGCUUUUAUUGAGGCUUUGCUUAGGCAUGAUGAUUUAGGCCUAUAAGCAAAGUUUCGUUCUGAGUUCACUCAAAAACUGUUUCCACUGUAAAUGUGUGUGUAUUCUGUAAUUGUCAAUCAACUUAAAAUAGAUUUGAUGUUAAUGUGAAGAAAGGCAAAAAUGAUUCAGUUAAUAUUUUAUAUCUAUGUUAUUCACACACACUGAACAAUAUGAUGCACAAUUUCUCGUUUUCCUAUGCAUUUUACACAGAUAAUUUGGUUUGAGAUUUCCUUUAGACUCCUAAAAAGUAAGGUUAUGAUUUCAAUUCGUUCCUUUUUUUAUUAAAGCCUCAGUACCUCUUGGGCCUGAUUUCACCUUUCCACCCUCUUCUAAAAUCCUGUCCCUUUGGUAUUUUUACAGUGCCCCCUCCUAUGUCAGAUAAUAUAGACAUUUAAAGGUGAUCGUUGUGGACGUAAUGAUUUCCUCCUACCCCUUAGCUUUAAGUGGGGAAGGACUACCAGUACUGUUUUCAAUUUUUACUUUUGAUGUAUUGUCUGCUGAACAUUUCUGGAGAGUCCUGGUUAUUUGUAAAAAUGUCAGUAUCAUCCUCUCAAUGAAUUAAUCAAGUUCCAAACCCUUGCUAUCCUGAGAACAUUAUUCUAGAUCACUUGUUUGUUAAUUUUAGUGGGGAGGAGGGGGUGGGUUGUUUUAAGAUAUCAUUAUAGGAAGAUUUCAGUGUGUGCAUGAUACAAUUGUUGAAAGCCAAGGAGACUUCAAUUAGGUUUUUUCAUACAUACAGAAUGAACUCUCUCUACUGCUUUCCAUAAUGAAUCAUUACAUUGCUAUGCAGGUUUCUCCAUAUCCUCAUAAAGAUCCUACAUAUAGCUUUCCGUUAAUACAUCUUUGACAAAGUCACUGAGAGGGAAAAAUGUAUUUAAAUAACGGGCCUCUGGUUCUCUGUACUACUGCUCUAUCUGUUAUGAGUCCCAGCAAGGCAUUUUGGCUUCUAUUCUUUAUGCUAAAUAACUUCUAAACAACAGAAGCCAAAUCCUGGAAAGACUGAGCACCAGCAUCUCCCAGAAGAAAAUGAGCUGCGGGUGCCCAGCCUUUCCUGGAUUUGGAAGAACUAGCCUUUUGGAACCUCCCAAUAGGCUUUUCUUAAACUUACUAGGCAGCAGGUCAGAAAAUAAGGAAUGUGUCGUUUUUCAGUUAUCACCCUAUUUGUAUGUCUUGCUGAAUAACUCUAUCCAUUAUGUCUGAUUGUUAACUGGCAAGAUUUAUUAAAGUGAGGAGCACUGCAUCUUUAUUAAAAGAGAAGCAGAGCACGCUUGCUUUAUAUAAGGUCUAUCUUUUAGCAGUUUAUGUUUGUGCAGGAGGUGUAUAUAAUAGGAGGGUUUUUUUCUGACUUGAGUAGUACAUUUUUUUUAAAUCCUCAAGAAUAAUGGACUGAAAAAUACAAACCACGGUAGGAGCUGCAUGCUAGAGACAGCCCAUUUGGGGACUGCUGAAAGCAGUCUGGAAGCAGACUUUGAUAAUACCCUGGAAGUGGAGAGCACUUUAAUGUGACUUGGCAAGAGGGUGAAGCCAUGAAGAGGAAAGUGCUGCAGCUCUGGCAGUGUGAGAGGCCAUGGAGUGAGCGAGUGAGAUGAUGGUCUGAGUAACUGCAGGAUGAGGCAUCAGACCAGGCAGUGAGCUAAUUCCCCAGAUGAGCCAUGAGGAGGCACUGCUGAAUGGUAGGUAGAACAGACCCCGUGACACCCCUAAGUACACAACUCUGGCAGGUUUAGAGCAUUUCUGGUACCUUGUCUAUCUGAUUGACUGCUAAUGGGAAGGAGGCCCAUGGUUAAGCUGUACCAAACUGAGGGACAAAAGUCCCAUCUGGUUUUCUGAGCUCUCAAGGCUAAAUUGUGAUGUUUUGUUGCAAGGCCUGAAUAGGGAGCAGAGCAGAGCUGCACUGUUGCAGGAAAGGCACUGGGGAGAUGGUGCAUCAGGUAGCCACAAUCUCCAUGGUGCUGUUCUCCACAAAUAAGGGUAAGCAUUUAGAUAGGCAUAAAUUAUUCUUUCUGGUGCACUGGCUGUAUUGGGAUGGUGCAGAAUGAAUGUGGUGCCAGAGUCUUACCCUUCCUUGCCCCCUUUCAAUAUUGCUAUUUUGUCCUGCUUUUGAGUCAUGCCAUGUAAAUGUAGGGGGAGGGACAGCUGGGGUUUCCCUCGGAGUUGCUCAAAGUAUACAAGAAUUUAUACCUUACACUAGUGUUAAUACCUGGGAUGGCUGGGAAAUCAUGACAAAUCAUGAACGUUUUCAUUUUUUAUUUCUGCUUUUAGUUAGCACUUCAGAGAGUUUUUGAAAAUGUCACAUUAGCUAGAAAGCUGGUUAGUAACCAGAAAAAGCAAUGAGCGAAACAUUUUGUGGAAUACUUUUUGGCCACUUUUAUCCAAAUUUGGUUUCACAUAUUUAGGAGUGGGCUCCCCCUUGUUUAGAGGUUAUUUACCAUAAACUAAGAAAAUAAAAUGCACAUAAAAAUCUUGUUUGGGGCAUUUAACAAAAUUUGAUUAGCUGUAACUAAUGCAGUAUUUUGAGCUACUAACAUAGAAUACGGUAGUGUUUAUUUCAUGAAGGAAAUUUUCUGUCCACUGAAUCUAUAAACAUCACUCACUUGUUGUGAAGUGUUUCCAUUUCUGUGCCUACUUCAGUGCCUGCUUGCUCUCAUGAUUAUAGUACAUACUAUGUCAUAUCAAGCACAAUUGUACUGAAAACUGUCCAACAAGGGAAAACCAAAAGGUCUUCAAGGAAAGAUUUCUUUGCUUCAAGACAAGCUUACUUUCCGUAUUUUGUCCUUAUAUCUCAGUUAUGAAUAAUAAAAAUG